rnacentral:lncRNA from 1 species
ACGGCCUUUGGACCAGGCUUAAUCUAUAUCAUCUUCAUAUAGACGGCCUUUGGACCAGGCUUAAUCUAUAUCAUCUUCAUAUAGACGGCCUUUGGACUAGGCUUAAUCUAUAUCAUCUUCAUAUAGACGGCCUUUGGACCAGGCUUAAUCUAAUCUGCUUCAUUACAGACGGCCUUUAGACCAGGCUUAGUCUAUACAUCUUCAUAUAGACGGCCUUUGGACCAGGCUUAAUCUAUAUCUGCUUCAUCCAGACGGCCUUUAGACCAGGCUUAAUCUAUAUCAUCUUCAUAUAGACGGCCUUUGGACCAGGCUUAAUCUAUAUCGCUUCAUAUAGACGGCCUUUGGACCAGGCUUAAUCUAUAUCUGCUUCAUAUAGACUGCCUUUGGACCAUACAGACUGCCUUUGGACCAGGCUUAAUCUAUAUCUGCUUUAUAGACGGCCUUUGGACCAGGCUUAAUCUAUAUCUGCUUUAUACAGACGCCUUUGGACCAGGCUUAAUCUAUAUCCGGGAAACCAGACAGAUAUAUAUCUCUGUGGUUAAUCUAUAUCCGGGAAACCAGACAGAUAUAUAUCUCUGUGGUAAUCUAUAUCCGGGAAACCAGACAGAUAUAUUAUCUCUGUGGUUAAUCAAUACCGGGAAACCAGACAGAUAUAUUAUCUCUGUGGUUAAUCUAUAUUCAGGUUACCAGACAGAUAUAUUAUCUCUGUGGUUAAUCUCACUACUUUUGUCUCGCCUGUUAAAAGUAGUGGGAAUCAUGUGCUUGCAGCAUCAAUCAAAUUGCUCCGAAUACAACAGGAUCUCACAGUGA